CCUACGGGAGGCAGCAGUGGGGAAUAUUGGGCACUGGGCGCAAGCCUGACCCAGCAACGCCGCGUGAAGGAAGAAGGCUUUCGGGUUGUAAACUUCUUUUCUCAGGGACGAAGAAAGUGACGGUACCUGAGGAAUAAGCCACGGCUAACUACGUGCCAGCAGCCGCGGUAAUACGUAGGUGGCAAGCGUUAUCCGGAUUUACUGGGUGUAAAGGGCGUGUAGGCGGGGAAGCAAGUCAGAUGUGAACACCACGGGCUCAACCUGUGGCCUGCAUUUUAAACUGUUUUUCUUGAGUACUGGGGAGGCAGACGGAAUUCCUAGUGUAGCGGUGAAAUGCGUAGAUAUUAGGAGGAACACCAGUGGCGAAGGCGGUCUGCUGGACAGCAACUGACGCUGAGGCGCGAAAGCGUGGGGAGCAAACAGGAUUAGAUACCCGUGUAGUC
rnacentral:rRNA from 1 species